rnacentral:rRNA from 1 species
UACGGGGGGGGCAAGCGUUGUUCGGAAUUACUGGGCGUAAAGGGCUCGUAGGCGGCCAACUAAGUCGGAUGUGAAAUCCCCAGGCUUAACCUGGGAAUUGCAUCCGAUACUGGAUGGCUUGAAUCCGGGAGAGGGAUGCGGAAUUCCAGGUGUAGCGGUGAAAUGCGUAGAUAUCUGGAGGAACACCGGUGGCGAAGGCGGGUCUGCUGGGCCGAUACUGACGCUGAACUGCGAAAGCUAGGGGAGCGAACGGG